rnacentral:rRNA from 1 species
AGUGAACGCUGGCGGUAGGCCUAACACAUGCAAGUCGAACGGCGGCACAGUAAGAGCUUGCUCUUACGGGUGGCGAGUGGCGGACGGGUGAGGAAUACAUCGGAAUCUACUUUUUCGUGGGGGAUAACGUAGGGAAACUUACGCUAAUACCGCAUACGACCUACGGGUGAAAGCAGGGGAUCUUCGGACCUUGCGCGAUUGAAUGAGCCGAUGUCGGAUUAGCUAGUUGGCGGGGUAAAGGCCCACCAAGGCGACGAUCCGUAGCUGGUCUGAGAGGAUGAUCAGCCACACUGGAACUGAGACACGGUCCAGACUCCUACGGGAGGCAGCAGUGGGGAAUAUUGGACAAUGGGCGCAAGCCUGAUCCAGCCAUACCGCGUGGGUGAAGAAGGCCUUCGGGUUGUAAAGCCCUUUUGUUGGGAAGGAAAAGCAGCAGGUUAAUACCCCGCUGUUCUGACGGUACCCAAAGAAUAAGCACCGGCUAACUUCGUG